rnacentral:piRNA from 1 species
UGCUUAAUUGGUGCACCAUGUGUCCGUU